AGGAGAACGCUGGCGGCGUGCUUAGCACAUGCAAGUUGAACGGGAUUCGCUCUAUGAAGUGUUAUAGCGAAUUAGAGCGAUGAGAGUAGCGGACGGGCGAGUAACGCGUGAGUAACCUGCCCUUUGCUGGGGGAUAACAUCGGGAAACCGGUGCUAAUACCGCAUAAGACCACAGUGCCACAUGGUACGGCGGUCAAAGCUCCGGCGGCAAAGGAUGGACUCGCGUCCAAUUAGCUAGUUGGUAGGGUAAUGGCCUACCAAGGCGACGAUUGGUAUCCGAACUGAGAGGUUGAUCGGACGCAUUGGGACUGAGACACCGGCCCAGACUCCUACGGGAGGCAGCAGGUGGGGAAUAUUGCGCAAGUGGGGGCAACCCUGACGCAGCAACGCCGCGUGAAGGAUGAAGGCUUUCGGGUUGUAAACUUCUUUGAUCGGGGACGAAGAUGACGGUACCCGAGGAACAAGCCACGGCUAACUACGUG
rnacentral:rRNA from 1 species